rnacentral:tRNA from 1 species
GCCGGCUUAGCUCAGUUGGUAGAGCAACGGUUUUGUAAACCGAAGGUCG